UACGAAGGGGGCUAGCGUUGUUCGGAAUUACUGGGCGUAAAGGGCGCGUAGGCGGCUGUGCAAGUCAGGUGUGAAAGCCCUGGGCUCAACCCAGGAUGUGCACUUGAUACUGCACGGCUAGAGUGUCGGAGAGGAUGGUGGAAUUCCCAGUGUAGAGGUGAAAUUCGUAGAUAUUCGCAAGAACACCAGUGGCGAAGGCGGCUCACUGGCCCGGUACUGACGCUGAGGUGCGAAAGCGUGGGGAGCAAACAGG
rnacentral:rRNA from 1 species